ensembl:misc_RNA Metazoa_SRP Metazoan signal recognition particle RNA
GCUGGGCAUGGUGGCUCAUGCCUGUAAUCUCAGCACUUUGGGAAGCCGAGGUGGGUGGAUCACCUGAGGUCAGGAGUUCGAGGCCAGCCUGACCAAAAUGGUGAAACCCCAUCUCUA